GAACUCUAUACAGUAUCGGAAGUGCGGCCUUGCCUUCAUCCGCGGUUUUCGAAUGAUAUCGAACCAGUGACAAAAUAGAAACCAUUUUCGCAAGCUAGGCUAGUUACGUUAGUGCCAAAUAAAAAGAAAAAGCCGUUCGACGGCUUUUUAUCUUUAGUUUAGCCAAUCGACCGUCGCCGCAUUUUACCGUUGGGUUUACGGUGUGCAAAUUACCGCCCAACCGUCAACUGGGCUAGAGGGCCGCGCCGUCACCAUCGCGCCCGCAUCAGACGAUCAACGAGAUCACGCCAAUUCGCCAGGACCGAGUCCACCCUGCUAGGUGGCUUAGGAUAGCAUCAGCAGCAGAGAACACACAAAGACCUCAUCGCAUUGCUUGCUGCUCAUCGUUCGUGCUAUCAUCACGCGCUGUAAGGCACAGCCAGAGGUAUUUCAACCAGCAGUAUUGUUACAGGCCUGUAAGCUGUAAGUACCAGAGCUCUUUUUUUAUUGUCCGUGUGCACAUGCGACCGUCGGCUUAAGAAUGCCGAUCAAUGAGAAUUAAAAUCGAAUUUGGCUAAGCCAAGCGCCUGCGGACCAAUAUUAAUAAUGUUCUGUUCGGCGAAAGACAAUGGUCUGGACUGUAUAGCUAAGGAAAGACACGCACAGAUAGCUAGAAAAGUUACGUUGUAGAAUAGAAUGACGAAAUAAGUGUUGUUAAUGAACCUGUAAACAUAUUUAAAUCAUUGCUUA